AAAAAGAUAAGCUAAUAAAGCUAAUGGGUUCAUACCCCAUCUAUGGGACAAUUUUUAUUCUCUCUUUUUA
rnacentral:tRNA from 1 species